CUGCAACCACCCAUGGUUUUAGAGAAGAAGCAACCCAUGUAGGGGGCGGGGAGGUCAACUAGGGAAAUUGCCCCCUAAUGGUAUUUACUUUAAACCGUAGUACCUAAGUUUUAAUCAUUUGUAAAACUACUUUCUUAACCAUGUUAAUUAUCCUCAAGUGUGUUUACUCAAAGCUUCUGUUGUUCAUUGUAUACUAAAUAAAUGCCUGAAGUGCAAGCUGCUCAGGACCAGCCGCAGUGACAAACCUCUCCUGGUGUGCAGGCAGUCGGACGCUCAGCUGGACUGGCGAAACAAAGUAUCUGUAUGUCAAUGUACGUUUUAUUCAUCCGUCUUUUGGGUCAGGGUCUGCGGGCAAACCCCCGCAGCUAAUGCCCUCUGGUAAGACGCCAUACCUCAACUGGUGCCCCGUGUAAGGUGCAAUACCACAAAGAUACAAUACAAUUGUUACAUUAGCAAAACAUAUGGGUCAUGAAUUAUGUUAUGUUCAGGACAGUUGUAGACAGUCUGCAGGGAGGUCUAGUUUUAGCUUUUUUAGACUUAGUGUAAAUUUAGUGAAGCCUGUAGUUGUUCACAGUAACAGAAAAU
rnacentral:lncRNA from 10 species